GCCGAGGUGGUGGAACUGGUAGACACGCUGUCUUGAGGUGGCAGUGGCGAAUGCUGUGCGGGUUCGAGUCCCGCCCUCGGCACCA
rnacentral:tRNA from 1 species